rnacentral:rRNA from 1 species
CCUACGGGAGGCAGCAGUGGGGAAUCUUGCGCAAUGGGCGAAAGCCUGAUGGAGCGACGCCGCGUGCAGGAUGACACCCUUCGGGGCGUAAACUGCUUUUCUAUCCGAAGAAGCUUCGGCUGACGGUAGGAUAGGAAUAAGGAGCUGCAACCUCGUG